AUGUAACAGUUACAUAGUUGAGUGAAAAAUUAUAAUGUUAACGUAACGUAAUUGUUACUUAGUAUCCACUGGAAUUAUAAUGUUAAUGUAACUGAUAUUUAGUAUCCACUGAACAAUAUAAUCUAAGAUAAGGCACUCGCGCAAGAAACAUGGGAAAACUACACUGGAGCCUGGAAGACAGCUGAUUGGAUAGCGCGGGCCCCUUCAUGGACUCUGCGAUGCGCUUUAUUGCCGUCAUUGACAUAGAGCUCUACGUCAUCUCACGCAUGCGCUGUAGCGUCGCAAUAUAUUGCACCUGACAGCACUGUUUCACGUAUGAUGCGCAUGGAGAGCAUAGAAGUCGUUCCGUUUCACUCCAUGUAUACUUCAUGCGCGCAUGAAGAUAGUCUCCCACCACCAUGCCGCGCUAUAGUGUGUAGCACAUGAGAACGCAUGAACUGCCUCAGCUCCCGAGGAGAUGCAAUCCAUGCGCGAUAGCCAUUUAGGCGGGAAAGAUUAUCAUCAGAAGUUUGUAAGAGUUUAUGCACACUUGAUUUAUUUUAUAAUUCUGUAAAGAUAAGCGGAAAAAAAUUAGAAGUUUAUGUCAAUGAUGAAUUAUGGACAUUUAACGUCUCCAACGCUGAAUUCGAAGCAGCAGCAACAACUGGCAAUGAAGAAGUAAUCAAGUUUUUAGUGGCUAAAGAAAGUGAAAGAAAAAGCAUAGCAGUAAUUGACGAAGAACAAGCUGAUAAAUCAAGACAGCCUAUAUCUGAAGCAAACGAAGCUAAGAAGGAUUCUUUCAUUUGGCCUAAUAAGGCAAUUCUUUUGCUUUUGGAGAUUUAUCGAAACAAAGAGUCUGAUUUUGUGUCAGGGCUGAUACGUCAUAAUAAAAUAUGGAUGGAUAUUGCCAGUGAAAUGAAUAAAGCAAAGUAUAAUGUCACUGCUAUACAAUGUCAAAAUAAAAUGUCAGGAUUGAAAAGAACAUACAAAAAUAUAUCUGACAGCAACAAUAAAUCAGGUAAUCAUGCAAGUUCUUGGGCCUUUUACUCUGUUAUGGAUUCAAUAUUUGGAAAAAAAGCCUGAUAGAGGCCAGGAUAGAACCUGCCAGGAUAGAACCUGCAUCAAUAGCUAGCAGUGAUGGUCCAUCUAGUCCAGGAUGCUCUUCAUCCUCAUCAGAUAAGUCGUUAGAAGCAAAUGAGCCGAGACCAAAAAAAGGCGGGUGGAAUCAAUUUUAGAAUCGUUCAUUGCAGAAAUGAAAGAAGAUAAACAGAAGGAGAAGGAGGAAAAACAACGGAGAAGAGAUGAAAGAAGAGAAGAAAAGGAAAAUAAGUGGAAGCAGAACAGUGAAACACGAAAAAGUAGAAUGGAGU